UGCCAUGAUCGGAUCUGGCUUUCCCUUAAAUUCUGGUGGUCCCAACUCUUUGAACUGCUUGGCUGUGACAACCCGUGAAUUGCUAUCAUUUCCUCCUAUGUUUUGAACACGAGUCUCCCUCGUCUGAUUUUGCAUGAACUGCAAAAAGCUUCUAAACAUUGCGUCGUUCAUCGUCUGAUCAGUGGUGUUGUUCACAGGAGGAACAUUGCCAGCCUGUUGCACGUUCUCCUCGUUGGUGAGUACAGGCGUCUCCACGGUCUCAU
rnacentral:lncRNA from 1 species